UACGGCGGGUGCGAGCGUUAAUCGGAAUUACUGGGCGUAAAGCGCGCGUAGGCGGUUUGUUAAGUCAGCUGUGAAAGCCCCGGGCUCAACCUGGGAACUGCAGUUGAUACUGUCCGACUAGAGUACGAGAGAGGGAGGUAGAAUUCCAUGUGUAGCGGUGAAAUGCGUAGAUAUAUGGAGGAAUACCAGUGGCGAAGGCGGCCUCCUGGCUCGAUACUGACGCUGAGGUGCGAAAGCGUGGGGAUCAAACAGG
rnacentral:rRNA from 1 species